CCCGGGCCUUGUACACACCGCCCGUCACACCACGAAAGCCGGUUACACCAGAAGUCGACGAGCUAACUUCGGAGGCAGUCGCCCAAGGUGAAGUCGGUGAUUGGGGUG
rnacentral:rRNA from 1 species